GGCUCAGUAGCCAGUGUAGAUCC
rnacentral:miRNA from 3 species